rnacentral:rRNA from 1 species
AGAGUUUGAUCAUGGCUCAGGAUGAACGCUGGCGGCGUGCUUAACACAUGCAAGUCGAACGAACCUUCGGGUUAGUGGCGGACGGGUGAGUAACGCGUGAGAAUCUGCCCUCAGGAGGGGGAUAACGGUUGGAAACGACCGCUAAUACCCCAUAUGCCUAUUGGUGAAAUGAAUUUCGCCUGAGGAUGAGCUCGCGUCUGAUUAGCUAGUUGGUGAGGUAAUGGCUCACCAAGGCUUCGAUCAGUAGCUGGUCUGAGAGGAUGAUCAGCCACACUGGGACUGAGACACGGCCCAGACUCCUACGGGAGGCAGCAGUGGGGAAUUUUCCGCAAUGGGCGAAAGCCUGACGGAGCAACGCCGCGUGAGGGACGAAGGCCUCUGGGCUGUAAACCUCUUUUCUCAAGGAAGAAGAUAUGACGGUACUUGAGGAAUAAGCCACGGCUAAUUCCGUGCCAGCAGCCGCGGUAAUACGGGAGUGGCAAGCGUUAUCCGGAAUUAUUGGGCGUAAAGCGUCCGCAGGCGGCUUUUCAAGUCUGCUGUUAAAGCGUGGAGCUUAACUCCAUCAUGGCAGUGGAAACUGAAAGGCUUGAGUAUGGUAGGGGCAGAGGGAAUUCCCGGUGUAGCGGUGAAAUGCGUAGAUAUCGGGAAGAACACCAGUGGCGAAGGCGCUCUGCUGGGCCAUUACUGACGCUCAUGGACGAAAGCCAGGGGAGCGAAAGGGAUUAGAUACCCCUGUAGUCCUGGCCGUAAACGAUGAACACUAGGUGUCGGGGGAA